rnacentral:rRNA from 1 species
AUGGCGAUCGAAGCCGCGCGCCUCUCCCCUUCCCUCGCCGCCGCCGCCGCCUUCCUCGGCCGCCGCUCUCCUCCCACAGCCCCUUUACUCCGCCGCCUAUGCCUCCUCCUCCCCCGCCGCUCCCUCCUCGCCAGCGCCAGCACCUCCUCCUCCCGCGCCUCCUCGGGCGGGAACGGCCGCGUCGUCGCCCUCUCCUCGUCGGAGCUCCGCAAGCGCCGUGGCUCGACAUCCUCCACACCCACGCCCGGAGAGGACGAUAAGCUGCGCUCGCUUCGUCGCCUCUUCGCGCGCCCGGACAUUGCAAUCGACGCCUACAUCGUUCCCUCCCAGGAUGCCCACCAGAGUGAGUUCAUUGCGGAAUGCUUCAUGAGACGUGCCUACCUGACUGGCUUUACUGGUAGUGCUGGUACAGCCGUGGUCACAAAAAAUAAUGCUGCUUUUUGGACCGAUGGCCGGUAUUUUCUUCAGGCUGAAAAGGAAUUGAGCCAUGACUGGACACUACUGCGGAGUGGAAAUCACGGUGUUCCAACCACUAUUGAGUGGUUGAAUGAUGUCUUACCAUCUGGUUCUCGAGUUGGUAUUGACCCGUUCCUUUUCUCAUCUGAUGCUGCUGAGGAAUUGAAGGCUGCUAUUUCUGACAAGAAUCAUGAGUUAAUUUUGAUUAGAGAUUUUAACCUGGUUGAUGAGAUAUGGGGCGGAUCAAGGCCAGCGCCCCCAAAAGAACCUACCAGGGUGCAUGCCAUCAAGUAUGCUGGUGUUGACGUUGCAUCGAAGUUAUCUUUUGUCAGAUCACAGCUUGAUGAAAAUGGGUGUGACACUGUGGUUAUUUCAAUGCUUGAUGAGGUUGCAUGGUUGUUAAACAUGAGAGGAAGUGAUGUUCCACAUUCACCUGUAUUCUAUAGCUACUUGACUGUGGAGAUGAGCACUGCUACAUUAUUUGUAGAUAGCAACAAAGUAUCUGAAGAGGUAUUGGAACACCUCAAGAAAGCUGGAGUGAAGUUAAAAUCAUAUGAAGCAAUUUUAUCUGAUGUAGAAAGGCUGGCAGAAAAGGGUGCAAAACUGUGGUUGGAUUCUUCAAGUGUGAAUGCUGCCAUAGUCAGUGUAUUUAGAUCUGGUUGUGACAGAUACAUGAGAAAAAGAGGAAAGACAGGGCGGCAAAUUGGCAAAGAGGCAUCUUCAGAUGAUCCGACCACCAAAAAGCGUGGUGUUCAGAAUAUGGAGUUAAACGGUCUCUAUAAAGCCUCACCAGUCACCCUUGCCAAAUCAGUUAAAAAUGAGGCAGAAAUUAGAGGAAUGAAGAACUCACAUCUAAGAGAUGCUGCUGCUUUAGCAGAAUUCUGGUGCUGGAUAGAGGAGGAAGUUCGUAACAAUGUGGCUCUUACAGAAGUGCAAGUUGCAGAAAAUCUUCUUGGAUUUCGCCGAAAGCAAGAUGGUUUUAUAGAGACAAGCUUCGACACUAUUAGUGGUUAUGGUGCAAAUGGUGCUAUAAUACAUUACAACCCAACUCCGGAUAGCUGCAGUUCUGUUGGAAGUGACAAUCUCUUUUUGUUAGAUAGUGGUGCUCAAUAUGUUGAUGGAACGACUGACAUUACAAGGACAGUUCAUUUUGGUGAGCCUUCCCCGAGGCACAAGGAAUGCUUCACAAGGGUUUUGCAGGGCCAUAUAGCUCUAGAUCAGGCAGUAUUUCCAGAAAGAACUCCAGGUUUUGUGCUAGAUGUUCUGGCACGAUCAUCUCUCUGGAAGAUUGGGCUUGAUUACAGACAUGGCACAGGUCAUGGAGUUGGAGCUGCACUCAACGUCCAUGAGGGCCCACAGAGCAUAAGCUAUCGAUAUGGAAACUUGACAGCUUUACAGAAGGGCAUGAUUGUAAGCAAUGAACCUGGUUAUUAUGAAGACGACUCAUUUGGCAUUCGUAUCGAGAAUCUGCUUCUGGUGAAAGAGGUUAAUUUAGCCAAUUCUUUUGGCGGCAUCUCAUACCUGGGCUUUGAGAAGCUAACUUUUGUUCCGAUUCAGAGAAAGCUUAUUGACUUACCCUUGCUAUCACCUUCGGAGAUAAAUUGGGUCAAUGAAUACCAUGAACAAGUUUGGGAAAAGGUUUCCCCAUUCUUGAGUGGCAAUCCUCUCAACUGGCUGUUGGUUAACACAAGGCCUCUCUAG